rnacentral:rRNA from 1 species
CUCAGGACGAACGCUGGCGGCAUGCCUAAUACAUGCAAGUCGAGCGAACAGAUGAAGUGCUUGCACUUCUGACGUUAGCGGCGAACGGGUGAGUAACACGUAAGGAAUCUACCUAUAAGCGGGGGAUAACAUUCGGAAACGGGUGCUAAUACCGCAUAAUAUYUUCUUCCGCAUGGAAGAAGAUUGAAAGACGGCUCUGCUGUCACUUAUAGAUGACCUUGCGGUGCAUUAGUUAGUUGGUGGGGUAAUGGCCUACCAAGACGAUGAUGCAUAGCCGACCUGAGAGGGUGAUCGGCCACAUUGGGACUGAGACACGGCCCAAACUCCUACGGGAGGCAGCAGUAGGGAAUCUUCCGCAAUGGGCGAAAGCCUGACGGAGCAAUGCCGCGUGAGUGAAGAAGGCCUUCGGGUCGUAAAACUCUGUUAUAAGAGAAGAACAAAUUGUAGAGUAACUGCUACAGUCUUGACGGUAUCUUAUCAGAAAGCCACGGCUAACUACGUGCCAGCAGCCGCGGUAAUACGUAGGUGGCAAGCGUUGUCCGGAUUUAUUGGGCGUAAAGGGAGCGCAGGUGGUUUCUUAAGUCUGAUGUGAAAGCCCACGGCUUAACCGUGGAGGGUCAUUGGAAACUGGGAAACUUGAGUACAGAAGAGGAAUGUGGAACUCCAUGUGUAGCGGUGGAAUGCGUAGAUAUAUGGAAGAACACCAGUGGCGAAGGCGACAUUCUGGUCUGUUACUGACACUGAGGCUCGAAAGCGUGGGGAGCAAACAGGAUUAGAUACCCUG